CCCUUCUUUUAAAGCACCCUGCUAAAAUUGGUAGGGCGACGCCUCACGGCUUGGCUCUUGGGGGCAUGUAAGCACGGGUAUACCAAGGAAGGAGAGAAAAGGCCCAGUGGGGCGGACCUCUUUCUUAAUGUCCUUUGUCUCAAGGCUUCGUGCUACACUA